UACGUAGGGUGCGAGCGUUAAUCGGAAUUACUGGGCGUAAAGCGUGCGCAGGCGGUUCGCUGUGUCCGAUGUGAAAGCCCCGGGCUUAACCUGGGAAUGGCAUUGGAAACUGGCUGGCUAGAGUGUGGCAGAGGGGGGUGGAAUUCCGCGUGUAGCAGUGAAAUGCGUAGAGAUGCGGAGGAACACCGAUGGCGAAGGCAGCCCCCUGGGCUAGCACUGACGCUCAGGCACGAAAGCGUGGGGAGCAAACAGGG
rnacentral:rRNA from 1 species